rnacentral:rRNA from 1 species
GAUGAACGCUGACGGCGUGCCUAAUACAUGCAAGUCGAGCGAACGGACGAGAAGCUUGCUUCUCUGAUGUUAGCGGCGGACGGGUGAGUAACACGUGGAUAACCUACCUAUAAGGCUGGGAUAACUUCGGGAAACCGGAGCUAAUACCGGAUAAUAUUUUGAACCGCAUGGUUCAAAAGUGAAAGACGGUCUUGCUGUCACUUAUAGAUGGAUCCGCGCUGCAUUAGCUAGUUGGUAAGGUAACGGCUUACCAAGGCAACGAUGCAUAGCCGACCUGAGAGGGUGAUCGGCCACACUGGAACUGAGACACGGUCCAGACUCCUACGGGAGGCAGCAGUAGGGAAUCUUCCGCAAUGGGCGAAAGCCUGACGGAGCAACGCCGCGUGAGUGAUGAAGGUCUUCGGAUCGUAAAACUCUGUUAUUAGGGAAGAACAUAUGUGUAAGUAACUGUGCACAUCUUGACGGUACCUAAUCAGAAAGCCACGGCUAACUACGUG